AUGUACCUCGACUCCCUGCUGCUGCCAACCGACACAAAAGAAAUGCGGAAGAUUGCAAAGACAAUGGACAAGACCUCAUUACCACGAGCAAACCAUCUCAAAGAGAGUGACCUAGCGAAAAUAGCUAGAGCAGACAUGAAAAGGGACGGAAAAUCACGACCAGAUGACUAUGAAUUUGGCAAAAUACAGAUAGCAGGAGAACAUCGCAAACAACAGCAACACCAGAACACGACCAAACUGCUACCACCUCCACCCAAACGCCGGCGCGAACCACGUGUCGGCACCAGUGGAAGCAGGGAACCAAACAAAAGCAUCAGCACAGGAGCAGAAGAAAGAUUCCAAAGGAUAAACAAAUUGUUGGAAAAAGUACUCCAUGAAGCAGAACAGAUACCCGCAGUAACCACCAGGGCUGAAAACCAGUGCAACGAAAAGGAAAAGAUAUUGGAUGAAAAAAACAAGAACCUAGUCGUGCAACAAACAAUUGCCCUGAUGGAUUCAUUAGAACAACUCAGACAAUUUCAGGACAUAGUUUGCACAAGGUACCUGACAGACAACGCGACCCUGUAG
rnacentral:rRNA from 1 species